UGGGAAGUAUUGCGCAAUGGGCGAAAGCCUGACGCAGCGACGCCGCGUGAGGGAUGAAGGUCUUCGGAUCGUAAACCUCUGUCAGCAGGGAAGAAAGUUAUAUGUGCUAAUCAGCGUGUAAUUGACGGUACCUGCAAAGGAAGCACCGGCUAACUCCGUGCCAGCAGCCGCGGUAAUACGGAGGGUGCAGCGUUAAUCGGAAUUACUGGGCGUAAAGCGCUCGUAGGUAGUGUGACAAGUCAAGGGUGAAAUCCCCGUGCUCAACAUGGGAACUGCCUUUGAAACUGUUAUACUUGAGUGUGUGAGAGGAUAGUGGAAUUCCUAGGUGUAGGAGUGAAAUCCGUAGAUAUCUGGAGGAACAUCAGUGGCGAAGGCGACUAUCUGGCACAUAACUGACACUGAGGAGCGAAGCGUGGGUAGCAAACAGGAUUAGAUACC
rnacentral:rRNA from 1 species